rnacentral:rRNA from 1 species
CCUACGGGUGGCAGCAGUGAGGAAUAUUGGUCAAUGGACGAAAGUCUGAACCAGCCAAGUAGCGUGAAGGAUGACUGCCCUCUGGGUUGUAAACUUCUUUUAUUUGGGAAUAAAACAGGGCAUGCAAUCCCCCUAGUAUAUGUAACAUGAAAAAGAGUCCCCGCAAAUUCGGUGAAAGCAGCCGCGGUAAUACGGAAGGUCCGCGCUUUAUCCGGAUUUAUUGGGUUUAAAGGGAGCGUAGGGGGGUUUUUAUGUCAGGUGUGAAAGUCCGCGGCUCAACCGUGAAAUUGCAGUUGAAACUGGCAGUCUUGAGUACAGAAGGGGAGGCCGGAAUUCGUGGUGUAGCGGUGAAAUGCUUAGAUAUCACGAAGAACUCCGAUCGCGAAGGCAGGUCUCCGGACUGCAACUGACGCUGAGGCUCGAAAGUGAGGGUAUCAAACAGGAUUAGAUACCCGUGUAGUC